rnacentral:snRNA from 1 species
UGCUUUGCACAGUGGCAGUAUCAUAGCCUAUGAGGUUUAUCUGAGGCGUGAUUAUUGCUAAUUGAAACAAUCACUGUGGUGGAAUUUAUGGACUGGAAACUUCA